AAACUUAAAAUAAAGAAGUUUCUAAAGAUUGAGAAAAUCAAUGGCUACGAAAUGUGUUAGAAAACUUAUGUUGAUUAUGAUGGAAUUGCUUAUCCUUAUUCUUCUUGGUGUGCAAGCGAAUGACCUUGCCCUUACCUCAUUCUCUCCAUCUUCAUCUCUCUUCAUGUCUCCUUAUUCAUCUGAACUUGAUCAUAAUCAUGGAGAGUUACACUUGUGCCUUACACUUGGAAUUCGUCAUUGUUCAACAUUAAGGACCACAUGGCCUCACUCCGACGCUAAAUACGAAACUUGUAUUGUUGCUACUUUUUUCCGCUGCUUCAAACAUAUCAAGUUUUAUGAAGACCCAAUUAUGAUGCCUAUCAUUUUUAAUUGCAUCAAAACCAAGUGCGAACCAUUACAAAAAAUUGAAGACAUUUUUGUUAGAAGUUCUCAGAUGGUGCGUUGUUUGUUGAAAUGCUUUUCUAAGCAUGUUGCGAGCCCCUCAGAUGUCAUUUACCUGCAGAAUCCUUGACCAUGAUGCAGGAAUUGAGAAUGAAGGCAAAAAUCCUUUCGCAAGUUUUAGUGGUUUAUGAACUGUCUAUUGGGAGCUUAAUGCUUGACUUCGGGAGAGCAAGCCUUAUCUUUAUGUUUGUUUCAAUGUAUUUGUUUUAUAGUGUAUUAUUGACACGUUUAAUUAUGUGAGAAUUUAGUGCCGCUUGUGGCACAUAUAUUUGGUACACCUAGUGUGUACAUGGUAUGUAUAAUUAAUCCAUACUCUAACUUAUCUUUA